ACUGCACUUAAUCAAAAGAACAAGAAAAAUGGCAACGUUCAACAAAUCAUUUGGCCUCAUCCUCUUGCUCGUUUUAGCCUCAGUUGCUGAAUUUGGAAUGGCAACAAAAAGAUGCACUCUUGGAAAUGGUGAAUGUGGUGAACGAAUAUGUUGUGAAGGAGGAAUUUGCGGUGACAGUUGCUGUGAUGCUAAGUGCAAGACCAAAUAUGUCUUAGGCAAUACUCAGGGUUAUUGCAAUAGGAUUGCUUCACAAAAUUUAUGUUUCUGCGAAUUUGAUUGUUAAUCACUUUAUUGUUGCUCAUCUUUCAUUUCAAAUAAAAAAUUCAAUGGAUGAAAUAAAUUACUUUUGUUUGUGAUA